rnacentral:rRNA from 1 species
GACGAACGCUGGCGGCGUGCUUAACACAUGCAAGUCGAACGAAGUGGCGAACGGGUGAGUAACGCGUAAUCAACCUGCCAUUAAGAGGGGGACAACAGUUGGAAACGACUGCUAAUACCGCAUACUGAAGGAGGGGUUUGCGGGUGAUAGGCUAGUUGGGGGGGUAACGGCCCACCCAGGCGAUUGGCAGUAGCCGGUCGGAUAGGAUGAACCGCCACAUUGGGACUGGGACACGGCCCAGACUCCUUCGGGGGGCAGCAUGGGGGAAUCUUCCGCAAUGGACCACAGUCUGACGGAGCAACGCCGCGUGAUUGAUGACGGCCUUCGGGUUGUAAAGCUCUGUUAAUCGGGACGCGGUACCGGAAUAGAAAGCCACGGCUAACUACGUGCCAGCAGCCGCGGUAAUAC